AAUGCUCUCUGGCUUCGGUCAGUUGAGUUCAAUGAGUGCCUUCUCUUCGGAGUUGGCCAUCCACACACACCGUGAACUGUGGCUUCGGCCAUCACAAACUGUUAGUAAUGAAUGUAAUAUCAUAACAAAAACAAAACUUUUAACAACGGAUCUCUUGGCUCU
rnacentral:misc_RNA from 1 species